rnacentral:rRNA from 1 species
AGCGAACGCUGGCGGCAGGCCUAACACAUGCAAGUCGAACGGACCGUCCGGGAUUAGUGGCGGACGGGUGUGUCACACGUGGGAACAUGCCCUUUUGGUCGGAACAACUCAGGGAAACGUGAGCUAAUACCGGAUGUGCCCUUCGGGGGAAAGAUUUAUCGCCAUUGGAGGGGCCCGCGUCUGAUUAGCUUGUUGGUGGGGUAACGGCCCACCACGGCGACGAUCAGUAGCUGGUAUGAGAGGAUGAUCAGCCACACUGGGACUGAGACACGGCCCAGACUCCUACGGGAGGCAGCAGUGGGGAAUCUUGCGCAAUGGGCGAAAGCCUGACGCAGCCAUGCCGCGUGAAUGAUGAAGGUCUUAGGGUUGUAAAGUUCUUUCAGCGGGGAAGAUAAUGACGGUACCCGCAGAAGAAGCUCCGGCUAACUUCGUG